rnacentral:lncRNA from 1 species
CAAGAUUCUUGAUAGAAGCCUCAGACUGCUGCAGAUCUGAAAUUAUUUUGUUCUUUUCAUCUUGUUGUGCUAAUAUUUCAGCUUGGUGAAUAAACUUCGCCUGUUCUUGUUGCAUCUUCAACUGUGAGUUACUAUUUUGUAGGUCUUCAUUAGCAAGCUGCAGAACAGAAAUUUGUUCAACUGCCUGCUCUAACUGAGCUCCUAACGUCUUGACUGAAUCAUUGGACUGAUGUAAGUUGUUAAUGGCCUCUUCCUUCUCUCCUUGUAGCACAAUGAUCUCAUCUUGCAGAUUAGUCCUUAUCUCUUCAAGUUGCUUGUGUAACCUAGAAUUUGUACUCUGCAGCUCUUCAUUUUCUCGCUGGAAAAGUAAAAUUUGGUUUUGCUGCUGUACCAUGUCACUUUGAAGUUCCUUGAUGUUAGCCUCUGAUUGCUGUAACUGAGCGAGUGCUGCAUUUUUCUCCGCUUGCAGUGCCAUAACCUCAUUAUACAGAUCGCUCUUUCCUGCUUCGAGGUCUUUGUUGGCCUCCUGAAGUUUUGAAAUCUCUUGGACUUGUUGUUCUAACUUGCUCUCAAGAUUAAUAACUGAAGCAGCAGCUUCAUUUUUUUGUCCUUGUAAUUCUACCAUUUCAUUAUGUAGGUUAGAAUUUGCAAGCUCCAGACCUUCAUUAGUCUUCUGCAUAUCUGAAAUGCUCUCAAUCUGUUGUGCUAGCUCAGUUUUAAGAUUCAUCAAAGAAGCCUCUAGCUGCUCUAUCUUUGAGGUGGCACAAUCAUUAUCUUUCUGUAGCUCGGAAAUAUUACUUACAAGAUUCUGGAUAGAAGCCUCAGACUGCUGCAGAUCUGAAAUUAUUUUGUUCUUUUCAUCUUGUAGUGCUAAUAUUUCAGCUUGGUGACUAAACUUCGCCUCUUCCAGUUGCAUCUUCAACUUGGAGUUACUAUUUUGUAGGUCUUCAUUAGCAAGCUGCAGGUCAGAAAUUUGUUCCACUCGCUGGUCUAACAGAACUCCAAGGGUCUUGACUGAAUCAUUUGACUUCUGUAAGCUAUUAAUGGCCUCUUCCUUCACUCCUUGUAGCACAAUGAUCUCAUCUUGCAGAUUAGUUCUUAUCUCUUCAAGUUGCUUGUGUAAACUAGAAUUUGUACUCUGCAGCUCUUCAUUUUCUCGCUGGAAAUGUGAAAUUUGGUUCUGCUGCUGUACCAGGUCACUUUGAAGUUUCUUGAUGUUAGCCUCUGAUUCCUGUAACUGAGCGAGUGCUGUAUUUUUCUCCUCUUGCAGUGUCGUAACCUCAUUAUACAGAUCUGUCUUGGCUGCUUUGAGGUCUUUGUUGGCUUCCUGAAGAUUUGAAAUCUCUUGGACUUGUUGUUCUAACUUGCUCUCAAGAUUAAUAACAGAAGCAGCAGCUUCAUUUUUUUGUCCUUGUAAUUCUACAAUUUCAUUAUGCAGGUUAGAAUUUGCUAGUUCCAGGCCUUCAUUAGUCUUCUGCAUAUCUGAAAUCCUCUCAAGUUGUUGUGCUAGCUCAGUCUUAAGAUUCAUCAAAGAAAUCUCUAGCUGCUCUAUCUCUGAUGUCGCAGAAUCAUUAUCCUUUUGUAGCUCGGCAAUAUUACUUACAAGAUUCUUAAUAGAAGCCUCAGACUGCUGCAGAUCUGAAAUUAUUUUGUUCUUUUCAUCUUGUUGUGCUAAUAUUUCAGCUUGGUGACUAAACUUCGCCUGUUCUUGUUGCAUCUUCAACUGUGAGUUACUAUUUUGUAGGUCUUCAUUAGCAAGCUGCAGAACAGAAAUUUGUUCAACUGCCUGCUUUAACUGAGCUCCUAAGGUCUUGACUGAAUCAUUUGACUGAUGUAAGUUGUUAAUGGCCUCUUCCUUCUCUCCUUGUAGCACAAUGAUCUCAUCUUGCAGAGUAGUCCUUAUCUCUUCAAGUUGCUUGUGUAAACUAGAAUUUGUAUUCUGCAGCUCUUCAUUUUCUCGCUGGAAAAGUGAAAUUUGAUUUUGCUGUUGUACCAGGUCACUUUGAAGUUUCUUAAUGUUAGCCUCUGAUUGCUGUAACUGAGUGAGUGCUGUAUUUUUCUCCUCUUGCAGUAUUGUAACCUCAUUAUACAGAUCAGUCUUGGCUGCUUUGAG